rnacentral:miRNA from 1 species
CUGUGGGCAUUUGGCACUGUGGUUCCUGCAUGAAAACAGCAGCUGGUGGUGCCUGGACCUGCACACAACCUCUGCUGUCACAGUAAAGUCUGCC